rnacentral:misc_RNA from 1 species
GAUGAAGAACGCAGCGAAAUGCGAUAAGUAAUGUGAAUUGCAGAAUUCAGUGAAUCAUCGAAUCUUUGAACGCACCUUGCGCUCCUUGGUAUUCCGAGGAGCAUGCCUGUCCGAGCGUCAUUGCUGCCCUCAAGCACGGCUUGUGUGUUGGGCCUCCGUCCUCCUCCCGGGGGACGGGCCCGAAAGGCAGCGGCGGCACCGCGUCCGGUCCUCGAGCGUAUGGGGCUUCGUCACCCGCUCUUGUAGGCCCGGCCGGCGCUUGCCGACACAUCAAUCUUUUUUCCAGGUUGACCUCGGAUCAGGUAGGGAUACCCGCUGAACUUAAGCAUAUCAAUAAGCGGAGGA